rnacentral:tRNA from 1 species
GCGGGGGUAGCAAAGCCUGGCCAACUGCGCUGGACUUAAGAUCCAGUCCCUUAGUGGGUUCAAGGGUUCAAAUCCCUUCCCCCGCA